UAAGACAGGCAUGGUGACUCACAAUAGUGCUAUCAGAACUGUCUUUUUUCCUUUUGUCAUAUUAUGGCCUUGCAAGCAUUAGUUUAAUAUUUGAGUUGUUGUUGAUUAAUAUGACGAUGCAGCAGUACAAUGAUCAGAGCCAGUCUACCACACAGACAAGUAUUUGUUGACCGACUAUGAAGCCCUGUCACAUCAAAUUCAUACCUUUACUUCCAGCACAUGGGAAGUCAGGACUUUGAGGGAUAGAGUUAUAGCUGAGGGCCAAAAGUUGUGUUUAAGACAGUAGGCUUUAACCCCUAUCCCAGGAGAAACAGAGAGCUAAAAAUGAAGAAUGGGAGCCCAGAAAAGACUUUAUAGUUGUGUAGACUUCAAUACUUGGUUUCACUGUAGACCUUAGUUUCCUUCCACUUUUAGAAAGGGGUUUAAAUUCAGCCAUGUGUUUAUGGGUCUGUGCUCACAUGAGUACAGGUCUUUGUGGAAGCCAGAGGUAUCGUCUUCCCUGGAGCAGGAGCUGUAGGCAAUGGGAGCCUCUGACAUGGGCAUUGGGAACCAAACUCAGCAAGAGCAAUAAUACAGACUGUGUACUGCUGAGCCCUCCCUCCGUCACCGGUGGUUAUCUUAGCAGACAGGUAGGAUGGGUGUAUGGUAGGGAGAUAGGGAGGUAAGAAUACCCACCAGAAAGACAAUCAAGUGAGGCCCAAUGCUGGUGGUAAAAGUGCUUGUCGGUGCAAGCAUGGCGGUCUGAGUUCAAUCCCCAGAACCCAGAAAACUGUCCUGUGUCUUUCACAGAUGCACCAUGGUACAGCUAUACCUCCCUACACACAGGUAAUAAGUUAAAUUUAGGGGGGAGGGGGCGGCAAAAAAAAAAAGUUAAA
rnacentral:lncRNA from 1 species